UACGAAGGGGGCAAGCGUUGUUCGGAAUUACUGGGCGUAAAGGGCGCGUAGGCGGUGCACUAAGUCAGGCGUGAAAGCCCUGGGCUCAACCCGGGAAUUGCGCUUGAUACUGGUGCGCUUGAAUCCAGGAGAGGUUGGUGGAAUUCCCAGUGUAGAGGUGAAAUUCGUAGAGAUUGGGAAGAACACCGGUGGCGAAGGCGGCCAACUGGACUGGUAUUGACGCUGAGGAGCGAAAGCGUGGGGAGCAAACAGG
rnacentral:rRNA from 1 species